GGUUGUGGCUCAGUGGUAGAGCGCUUGCCUGGAAUGUGAGAUACACUGGGUUCAAUCCUCAGCACCA
rnacentral:tRNA from 1 species